rnacentral:rRNA from 1 species
AACGAACGCUGGCGGCAUGCCUAACACAUGCAAGUCGAACGAGACCUUCGGGUCUAGUGGCGCACGGGUGCGUAACGCGUGGGAACCUGCCCUUAGGUUCGGCAUAACUCCCCGAAAGGGGUGCUAAUACCGGAUAAUGUCUUCGGACCAAAGAUUUAUCGCCUUUGGAUGGGCCCGCGUUGGAUUAGCUAGUUGGUAGGGUAAAAGCCUACCAAGGCGACGAUCCAUAGCUGGUCUGAGAGGAUGAUCAGCCACACUGGGACUGAGACACGGCCCAGACUCCUACGGGAGGCAGCAGUGGGGAAUAUUGGACAAUGGGCGAAAGCCUGAUCCAGCAAUGCCGCGUGAGUGAUGAAGGCCUUAGGGUUGUAAAGCGCUUUUACCCGGGAUGAUAAUGACAGUACCGGGAGAAUAAGCUCCGGCUAACUCCGUG